AGUAGUUUGAUCCUGGCUCAGGACACGCUGGCGGCGUGCUUAACACAUGCAAGUCGAACGGUAAGGCCCCUUCGGGGGUACACGAGUGGCGAACGGGUGAGUAACACGUGAGUAACCUGCCCUUGACUCUGGGAUAACAGCUGGAACAGCUGCUAAUACCGGAUACGAACCUCUUAGGCAUCUUCGAGGUUGGAAAGUUCCGGCGGUCAAGGAUGGACUCGCGGCCUAUCAGCUUGUUGGUGAGGUAAUGGCUCACCAAGGCGACGACGGGUAGCCGGCCUGAGAGGGCGACCGGCCACAUUGGGACUGAGAUACGGCCCAAACUCCUACGGGAGGCAGCAGUGGGGAAUAUUGCACAAUGGGCGAAAGCCUGAUGCAGCAACGCCGCGUGCGGGAAGACGGCCUUCGGGUUGUAAACCGCUUUCAGUAGGGACGAAGCUAACGUGACGGUACCUACAGAAGAAGCACCGGCUAACUACGUG
rnacentral:rRNA from 1 species